rnacentral:rRNA from 1 species
AUUGAACGCUGGCGGCAGGCCUAACACAUGCAAGUCGAACGAGGGGCGGACGGGUGAGUAAUGUUUGGGAAACUGCCUGAUGGUGGGGGAUAACUAAUGGAAACGGUAGCUAAUACCCCAAACAAGCGGAGGUGCCAAGAUGGAAUUGGCUAGUAGGGGGGGGAAAGGCUCACCUAGGAGACGAUCCCUAGCUGGUAUGAAAGGAUGACCAGCCAAACUGGAACUGAGACACGGUCCAGACUCCUACGGGAGGCAGCAGUGGGGAAUAUUGCACAAUGGGCGCAAGCCUGAUGCAGCCAUGCCGCGUGUAUGAAGAAGGCCUUCGGGUUGUAAAGUACUUUCAGCGGGGAGGCGUUACCCGCAGAAGAAGCACCGGCUAACUCCGUGCCAGCCGCCGCGGUAAUUC